UUAAUCAUGUGCUUGAUGCUACACUGUAGCUUGCUUGCUAACUAAGUUGUCAGCUAAUGUUAGCAUGGUAAACAAUGGUUUGAUAAAUUCCAUGUCUAUAUGGAGCGCAGAGUCGCUAUGCACGGUUCAGAAGUGCAUUGGGAGCAUCAACAACAAAACAGCUGAUUGUCAGAGAACUUUGAACCACUAUUCAUUUAUGCAUUACAUCAAAAAUAAAUACUGCUAACUACCGUAAUUUAUUUUUUAUGGCCAUAUAACGUUACCCUUCAGGGUUUCCCAUAAAUGUAUUUAAGUGUGCCCCACCCACCAUGUCAUUUUGUCAAGGCAUUUGCUAGUUAUGUUAGGUACACAUAGACAAAACUAAUGCAAUGAAAUACAAUGGCUCUGCAUUAAAACCUUUCUUUGAUAGGUAUUGUGGUGGUAAGUUUAUUGAAUUUGUUUGACAGAGGUAUUUAAUUUAAUGGUCAAUUUGAAGGCUGCUUAUGGUGCUAGUUAACCAUGGGGUUAUACUGAGAGAUCUUCUUAACAUUUUGUCAACUGUACUUUUUUUUAUACAUGUAUAGGAUGGACUAAAUAUUUUGAACACUUCUCAGUGUAAAUUAUACCAUGACUCAAAAAGACGUUAAAAACUCAUUAUAAUACUCAUGAAGGAAGGAUUUAUUUCAGAGCUACACUGAAUUAGUUCUUGGUGAACCUUAUAAACUGACAACUGUGUAAGUGUAUACCUUUUUUUACACAGUCUAUGGUGUAUAUACCUGCACAUGCCCCCACACAGUGUUCAGUACAUUUUGUGCAUUUUUUACAUUCACAACGUUGACCCUGCAUAUUCCUCACAAAAUGUAUAACAACUAAUUUGUUUAUCUCCAAAUGCUAAAUUCUUACAGCUGUUGUCCUGUGAAGCUGGUGCUGAGGUACUGAGGUUCCACCAACCACAACAUCUAUUGAGCCGUAGACUACGACACAGAAGAGGAGCUCACUGGCCCUGUGUUGCAUUUAAAUCACGCCUUACAUUGCCGGACUGUAAGAAGACAUCAACCUUUUUCUGUGAGUUACGCGAAUUUGGAGAAACUUGGACUGAGCACAGAUUCCAUCUUGAAUGAUACAGUCAUGUGUUUCUUUAAUGUUUGUUAAAAAUAAACAUGGAAAUUUGC